rnacentral:rRNA from 1 species
GACGAACGCUGGCGGCGUGCUUAACACAUGCAAGUCGAACGGAAAGGCCCUGCUUUUGUGGGGUGCUCGAGUGGCGAACGGGUGAGUAACACGUGAGUAACCUGCCCUUGACUUUGGGGUAACUUCAGGAAACUGGGGCUAAUACCGGAUAGGAGCUCCUGCUGCAUGGUGGGGGUUGGAAAGUUUCGGCGGGUGGGGAUGGACUCGCGGCUUAUCAGCUUGUUGGUGGGGUGGUGGCUUACCAAGGCUUUGACGGGUAGCCGGCCUGAGAGGGUGACCGGCCACAUUGGGACUGAGAUACGGCCCAGACUCCUACGGGAGGCAGCAGUGGGGAAUAUUGCACAAUGGGCGGAAGCCUGAUGCAGCAACGCCGCGUGCGGGAUGACGGCCUUCGGGUUGUAAACCGCUUUCGCCUGUGACGAAGCGUGAGUGACGGUAAUGGGUAAAGAAGCACCGGCUAACUACGUG